CAAACUUUCUCCUUUUUCCAGUUUGGAACUAGCAACAAUUAACAUAGAUAAAAUUAAAAUUGUAAUUGAAUAAAAUAUUUUACAUACAAAUUUUUUUGAAAUAAAUAAAUUUAAAUUUUUUUGCAUUAAAGGGGUUAACAUGUAGGUACGACUGCCUCAUUUUUUUUCAACAAGCAGCUGUAGCUGCCAUUUUUUCUCGGGAAAAUUACCUUAUAGUUGGGUAUUUAACUUUACUUUUCAAAGAAAGAAGAUUUAAGUUAGUUAUUUCAUAAGUCAGGUAUCACACAAAAUCAUGUACCCGACAUCAACCCACUCCAUUCACUCUUUCCUAACCGUUUCCAAGAAAACCUAAAUAAAAACCUGGUGGCGUCCUAGCUUUCGACAUGGAUGAGAGGAAAUAUUCAAAACUUCGAGGCCGAGCGUAGAGAUGAAUUCAUGGGACUUCGGGGUUUACCAAAAAUCAAUGGUGUGAUUUGAGGGAGAGAUGAUUUUCUUGUGGGUCUGAUGAAUGAGGUGGUGUGGAAUGGGGAAUCAGCAAGCAGCGUCGUCACAUAGCUUGACAUCUCAGGGACUAUGUUGAAAGAGAAUUGUCUUGAUUCUAUGUGGUGAUAGAUUGUUUGAGGUGGGGGUGGCUGUAGCGAAGAAGACGGCAGACAGAGGAGAUUUAGGUUGUUCAGGAGAUUUCAAUCAACCAAUGAAAUUUUCGCCACCGCCAAUGUUCGGAUAGACUGGAAGAAGACGCCGAAGACCUAUUUGUUUGUCAAAUCUGAUCUUCAAGGGCUAAAGAAAGAAGAGGUGAAAGUAGAGAUGAUAGAGGAUAUGGUUCUGCAAAUUAGCAGCGAGAAGGAAGUGGAAAAUGAAGAUAAGAAUGAUAAAUGGCAUUAGAUUGAGAGGGCAAGAGGCAAUUUUGUUGGCAGGUUCUAUUUGUCAGAAAAUGCAAAAACUGAUUAAGUGAAGCUACAAAGGAGAAUGGUAUUAUACUGUAAUUGUUCCAAAAUUGAAGGCGAAGACACCUGAGGCCAAGACCAUUUUCAACUAUUGGAAGUUUCGAUUUUUGUUUUGCUUUUGUUUAUUUAAUGAUGUUUUUGUAUGUGGAACUUGGUGUGAUUUCUUUUCCAGAGUGUUUGUACUUUGUAUAAUUUUUUAAUAUGUUUUUUGGGUUGUAAUGAAUAAAAAUGGAGUAGAGUGGGAUGAGAUUGAGGUGAUUGUGAAUAAGGUUUGCAAUUAUUUGGAUAUUUGUAAUCAAUAAAUA
rnacentral:lncRNA from 1 species